rnacentral:rRNA from 1 species
GAUGAACGCUGGCGGCGUGCCUAAUACAUGCAAGUCGAGCGAACAGACGAGGAGCUUGUUCCUCUUACGUUAGCGGCGGACGGGUGAGUAACACGUGGAUAACCUACCUAUAAGACUGGGAUAACUUCGGGAAACCGGAGCUAAUACCGGAUAAUAAAUUUAACCGCAUGGUUCAAUAGUGAAAGACGCUUUUGCAGUCACUUAUAGAUGUAUCCCGGCCGCUUUAGUAAGUUGGUAAGGUAAGGCCCUACAAAGGCAACAAUGCUUACCCGCCCUGAGAGGGGAUUCGGCCACACUGGAACUGGACCACGGUCCAGACUCCUACGGGGGGCGGCGGUAGGAAAUCUUGCGAAAUGGGGGAAGUCCUGACGGGGCAACGCCGCGGGAGUAAUGAAGGUCUUCGGAUCUAAAAACUCUGUUAUUAGGGAGGAACAAAUGUGUAGGUAAAUAUGCACGUAUUGACGGUACCUAAUCAGAAAGCCACGGCUAACUACGUG